UGGGUUGUGGCUUAGUAGUAGAGUGCUUGCCUAGCAUGCAUGAGGCACUGGGUUCUAUCCCCAGCACCACAU
rfam:Ictidomys tridecemlineatus contig054182, whole genome shotgun sequence.